rnacentral:rRNA from 1 species
GUGCCAGCAGCCGCGGUAAUUCCAGCUCCAAUAGCGUAUAUUAAAGUUGUUGUGGUUAAAAAGCUCGUAGUUGAACCUUGGGCCUGGCUGGCCGGUCCGCCUCACCGCGUGCACUGGUCCGGCCGGGCCUUUCCCUCUGUGGAACCCCAUACCCUUCACUGGGCGUGGCGGGGAAACAGGACAUUUACUUUGAAAAAAUUAGAGUGCUCCAGGCAGGCCUAUGCUCGAAUACAUUAGCAUGGAAUAAUAAAAUAGGACGCGCGGUUCUAUUUUGUUGGUUUAUAGGACCGCCGUAAUGAUUAAUAGGGACAGUCGGGGGCAUCAGUAUUCAACUGUCAGAGGUGAAAUUCUUGGAUCAGUUGAAGACUAACUACUGCGAAAGCAUUUGCCAAGGAUGUUUUCAUUAAUCAGGAACGAAAGUUAGGGGAUCGAAGACGAUCAGAUACCGUCGUAGUCUUAACCAUAAACUAUGCCGACUAGGGAUCGGACGGUGUUAUUCAUGACCCGUUCGGCACCUUACGAGAAAUCAAAGUGCUUGGGCUCCAGGGGGAGUAUGGUCGCAAGGCUGAAACUUAAAGAAAUUGACGGAAGGGCACCACCAGGGGUGGAGCCUGCGGCUUAAUUUGACUCAACACGGGGAAACUCACCAGGUCCAGACACAAUAAGGAUUGACAGAUUGAGAGCUCUUUCUUGAUUUUGUGGGUGGUGGUGGCA